AUGUGUUGCCGUCAAUACUGCCUGAUGUGUUGUUGUCAAUACUGCCUGUUGUGUCGCCGUCAAUACUGCCUGUUGUCGCCGUCAAUACUGCCUGUUGUCGCCGUCAAUACUGCCUGUUGUCGCCGUCAAUACUGCCUGUUGUCGCCGUCAAUACUGCCUGUUGUGGUGUUGCGUUGUUACUACUGCCUGUUGUGGAGUUGCGUUGUUACUACUGCCUGUUGUGGAGUUGCGUUGUUACUACUGCCUGUUGUGGAGUUGCGUUGUUAAUACUGCCUGUUGUGGUUUUGCAUUAAUACUGCCUGUUGUGGUGUUGCGUUGUUACUCCUGCCUGUUGUGGAGUUGCGUUGUUGGUGGUCAUGGCCGUGGUGAUCAUGGCGUCAUGUGUUAAUGUAACUGUGUUGUGUUAAUGUAACUCUGUAUUGAGUUAAUGUAACUCUGUGUUGUGUUAAUGUAACUCUGUGUUGUGUAGUCAAUCAGCCAGUCACAGUAAUGGAGGCCUGUUCAUUUCUGCUUCCCAAGAGGACUUGGUCUAAUCUAGUGCUUAUCUCUCUCACUCACUCAUAUCUUUAGGAGGAAUGAAGCCGUAAGCAGGCCUCACUCCUGGCACGCCACCAAGUUCAACGAGAGCCAAUCAGAGACUGCCAAAACUCAGUCUCCGCCCCCGCCAGUCUGGCAGACCAGAUAUGAUGCAAGGUAACCCAGUGUUCCCCGCUAAGACAUCAGGCUUAGAGCCCUACCCAUGCCCACAACAUUCAAACCCUACCCAUGCCCACAACAUUCAGACCCUACCCAUGCCCACAACAUUCAGGCCCUACUCAUGCCCACAACAUUCAGGCCCUACCCUACACAACCCCGAUUGUGUGUGCCAAAUUUAAGACCGAAAUCAGAAAUAACUUGCUCCAUUAGCAAAUCUAUUAGCUGCCUCUGUCUGUCACUUGCUCCCUGCCCACAGCUUGCUCUGCAUGCAGUUUGCUCAUUGCUGCUCUGGGUCUGUGAGUAUCCAUAGCAACAGCUCCGCUUGGGCUCCUCUGCUCAAUGAAGACCAUGAGAGUGCAGUUAGCUACUUUUCAUCACUCUAGGAACAUUUAUUAUUUUCUGUUAAAUAAUCUCUCCUGUUUUAUAUUUGACAGGGUUGAAGCACUUCUAACACCACAUGAUCUUAGUCAGAUAUGACUGUACUGCACUGCGCUGCACGAGCAAAUGGCUCAGCUUCAAAAUGUUAGUGAUACCCGAGCCCUGAAAAAUAAAACGGGCUCUACCCUGAUGUAGAAUGUCUGGGAUCAGGAACAGGCUCCAUGAUCUGAGUUUUACUGUGACUACUUUCCACUGGCCCACAACUUCAGAGAUUUGUUUCAAAAUAAGACCAGUAGUUAUUCUGUACCUCAAUGCACUAUGGACCUUUUUCAUCGUUAUUAUACUGAGUGUGCCUAAAAUCCUGUCAGUUUGUGUAGACAGUUGAGCUAGCAUGUAGAGGUUUUCGCGGGUCUAAAAAGUUGGAUCCAAAUGGAACAGAGGACGAUCAGACCCGGACCCUAAAGAACACAAUAAAAAAAAAUUAAAGGGGGACGUGGACCCGAUCAGACCUGAACCUGAAUGGACCCUCUGAUAACCAGACCUAUACCCGUACCCUAGACCAGAUUCGAUUGGACUUGAGGGACACAUUUUAUUUUAUUUUUUCAGCGAAGUUGCUCUUCUGGUUAACAAAUAUAUCUGCAGCUAUAUAAAAUAUGCUAUAGGCUCUGCAGAGCCGUGGUCAGGUCCAAUCGGGUCUAUCAACUGUAGUUACAUAGACCCGAUAACCAUCCCACAGGACCUGACCCGAACCCAAGAGAAAAGUUAGAAUUUUGGAACCAGACCCGCCCGGGCUCCAGGUCAAGUAUUGGGUAUUUGGCUUGUGGUUGACCUGUGAAUACCUCUACUAGCAUGUCCCCCGAAGUACUGUGUUAGACUAUAGCAUUAUGUAGGACAAUGGACCUCUACUAGCAUGCCCCCCCCAAGUACUGUGUUAGACUAUAGCAUUAUGUAGGACAAUGGGCCUCUACUAGCAUGUCCCCCCAAGUACUGUGUUAGACUAUAGCAUUAUGUAGGACAAUGGGCCUCUACUAGCAUGUCCCCCCAAGUACUGUGUUAGACUAUAGCAUUAUGUAGGACAAUGGGCCUCUACUAGCAU
rnacentral:lncRNA from 13 species